rnacentral:tRNA from 1 species
ACUUUUUUAGUAUAUCAGUAUAUUUAACUUCCAAUUAAAAGGUUCUAAAAGAAAAAAGUA